GCUUUGGAAGACACCCUGAAGUAUAAGCAAGAAGAUUCUUUGCUUAAAACGUUAAAACCACCACCACCACCGAAAACAACAAAACCCAAGUCAAGAAGUCAGCAGUUAUUUUUUAUGAAACACAAACUAAGUGUUCCACUUGUUUGCACUUGCUUUUUGAAUUAAGCUGCUUGCAAGAAAAAAGUUUGAAAGGAUUAGUAAAACACCAUCAAAACGAAAACUAG
rfam:Camelus ferus unplaced genomic scaffold scaffold526, whole genome shotgun sequence.